AACACGUUUACCUGUUCAUAGGUAAGAUUCACACCCAUUGCCGCAGCCAUAUAAAAGAGCCGCUGCAAAACAGCUGUUGAGAUAAGAAUAAACACAGCAAAACGAGCGCUUAAACUGUCCAAGAGAAUCACCGGAGAAGACUGCCUCAAAAUGGACGACAAGAAGGACAAGAAGGGAAAGGACGCAUGUGACUCAUACAGCGAUGGCUGCACAAAGGGCAAAGGAGAGCAGAAGGCAAAGGACAAGGGGAAGGGUAAAGGACAAGACCAGAAAGGACAGGACCAAAAAGGACACGAACAGAAAGGACAGGAGCAGAAAGGCAAAGGGAAACAUUAGUUCCAGUUCCAGCUCGUCAGACGCCGACGUGGGGAGGAAAGCCUAAAGCUGGACUCGAGGAACAGAAGAACAAGGAAAAAAAGAAAAGGAUGCAAAGCAAGUCUACCCCUUUGUGCAGAGCUUAAUCCAGCCCAUUGUAGACCUGCAGAAACAGCACUUUGCAGCUUGAAUUUAAACAGUUCAGUUCUGCACACUUGAACCAUCUGUAUGCCAUCAUUAUGUUUGCUUGUUUUUCAUUUUUGAACUUAUUCAUUUGUUAAAGGUGUCUUCCUAGUUUAUGGUUUCCUACCUACGCUUGAUUUCUGGUGUGUAAUUGGUUACUCUAAUAAAGAUUACGUCAUGGGAACCACUUA